GAGAUAAUGCACAGCAUCUUGCCACACUGCCGUCAUGCCAUAUGAUUGAAAGACCGUGUAAUGUGAAAUACUUCUCCCAUGUACCAGUGGGGUCAUUUAUUUACAAUUCAGUAAAAGUCUCAGCCAAAACCAGCGGAACAUAUAUAUAACUGUAGAGAGCCAUAUGGGGCUAAUUUGCCUUCUGAACAAAUCUGGAAAAGAGAAAGGUGCCACAAAUUGAAUUAAGCUCACAUUAUGCAGAAAGGAAGCAACAGCUGGGAAACAUUUAAAAAAAAGAGAUCCCUUCAAAACAGCCUUGGAAGGCCAGCAGUCAAGUCCAUUUUUCUUUCAGGGCUUAUUCUGUGGUGCUGUUGCCGCUGAGAUCCAACGCCACCGGCCAGGUCUUCCUCUGCCUGGCUCCCCGAUUAUUACGGGACUGGGAGUUCCACUCGGUGGCCCGUUCAUGGUCAGGCGCGACUGCGGGGCUGCAGCUAUACUGCUCCCGACACCCAUUUUGCAGAGAGUGCAAUGCAUGUUCUCCGCACUACCCAUCAUUGUGAAUUUGGGCGAUUCCAAGUCACUUCCAUUACUAGCCCCCACGCCAUGCUAGGAAAACAUGGAAGAAUGAAUGGAGCCUCACAUGCAACAAUUUCGAUCAGGGCUCCAACCAGGUGGGAGUUGUGCCAGGGGCUUCUCCAUCUCCCAUUCCUUGCUGGCUUCAAAGAUGGGGUCCUUGCUUUCUCCCAAAUGGAAUCUGGAGACUAUUGGUAGGUAGUUGUGCCAAUGUUUCCCACCAUUAGUCUUAAACUCUUUGAGGACAGGAAUUAACAAUCUUCAUGGCUUCUGGGGGACCUAGAACAAUGCUUGGUGUACAAUAGGAGUUCAGAAAAUGUUAGCAGGAAGUGACCAAUUGCUGAAGAUACAGCCACCAGUGGCCCCCCAAUACUUCUGUUCAUUCAGUUCUUCAACAAAUAUGCAUUGACUGACCCUAUGUGAUGUACACUGUGGUGAGCCCUGGAAAUAUAAUAGUUAACAAGACCAGGCCUAGCCCCUGUGUGGAUAGGAUUAUAGUCUAGUGAAUGAAGUCACAGGCCUGUAUCCAUACAUACGGAAGCCCCAUCACCUUUUUAAUUUUUCUCUGUACAGAAUUUCCCCAGGGGCCGGCUCCUUGGCCGAGUGGUUAAGUUCGCACGCUCCGCUGCAGCAGCCCAGGGUUCAGAUCCUGGACGCGGACAUGGCACCACUUGUCAGGCCACGUUGAGGCUGUGUCCCACAUCCCACAACUAGAAGGACCUGCAACUAAGAUAUACAACUGUGUAUGGGGGGGCGGUUGGGGAGAUAAAGCAGGAAAAAAAAUGAUUGGGAACAGUUGUUAGCCCGGGUGCCAAUCCUUAAAGACUUUUGGGGAAAUUCUUUUUUUUUUUUAUUUUAUAUUCAAGACUGAAUUCUUCAUCCUAGAUAAUGCCACCUGUUCUGACUUUCACCCCUUUUAAGGAAAAGCAACCACCAGACACACUGGCCAAGACGACAAGGCCUCUAGUGUACUUCUCCUCCUGCUGCCUCUUCCACGUUCUGCAAAGCUCCAAUCACGGUUCAAUGCGAGAGCCCCAGAAGCUGUGGAUCUGAAAAUUUCAACAUGUUCCCUUGUCUUUGUGAGAUGCAGCAUCCUAUCACCAUUAGCACCGUGCAUCAGAUUCUGCGCUCGGUGUUCAGAAGAGAGAUGUCUGCUGUAUCCAUUCUGGUAUUUCACAACUGAUGUUGCCUUGGGGAAUAUGUGAGGCAAUCCAGACAUAUGCAGAGAUUGCCUUCAAGUGCCCAGGGGUGAGGGGAGUGAAAAAUCAAACAUGUGCAUGGCAAACCAAAUGUUGAGGUCAUUUGGUUUCAAAAUGGGAAGGAGAAACACAUGCAUGCACAGAUUUGCCUCCAAAGAUUCACAAUUUUUGAAACUUGGGCCUAUAAUUGAGAUUAUACUGUUGGCGUAGGGGAUGUCCAAAUAUCUCCAUGGGAGAAGGUGGAUGUAGGGGUGGGAAGGAUAAAAGCAAAAUGAUUUUUUGGACCAGGUUUAUAUAAUUCUGAUUUGUGAGUUUGUGGAAGUUAGUGUGACACCAUUAGAACAUUUUAUAUGGAUUUUGUGACUUUUUAAAUCUUUAAAAAUAAUUAUUUAAAACAGUAUGAUAUCUGUUAUAUGAUAAUCUUUAAAAAUUAUCUCAGGGUUGGGGCCGGCCCGGUGGUGCAGUGGUUAAGUUCGCACGUUCCGCUUCUUGGCGGCCCGGGGUUCGCUGGUUCGGAUCCCAGGUGCGGACAUGGCACUGCUUGGCAGCCAUGCUGUGGUAGGUGUCCCAUGUAUAAACUAGAGGAAGAUGGGCACGGAUGUUAGCUCAGAGCCAGGCUUCCUCAGCAAAAAGAGGAGGACUGGCAGUAGUUAGCUCAGGGCUAAUCUUCCUCAAAAAAAAAAAAAAAUAGGAAAAAAAAAAUUAUCUCAGGGGGCAGAAGGAAUGAGUAGAAAUAUAGAUAAAAUAAGAUUGUCCAUGGAUGGAUCACUGUGAAAGCUGAGUGGUAGGUCAUGGAUGUUCAUUAGAAUAUUCUCUCUACUUUUGGAUAUGCUUGAAAACGAAAAUAUCUAUAAUAAGAGGCCUUUCAAAAUUGCAUGAAGAUUUAGUAGCUUAAGAAAAUCAUUUGCUGGUAAUCAAAUGGAAGCAUUAUCUAUCCUACAGUGGAAAUCACAGUCCAGCUGCCACCCAGGCUGCAGAUGCCUGUCCCUUGAGGGGAAGCUCUGAGCCACAUCCCUUUCUAGACCAGUCCCCAUUUUACAGAAUUGGCUUUGGCCCAGAGGAAUCAGAGCUAUACUCUGGGUGAAAUGAAAUCCCAUCUCUCUGUUUGCCUUCCUUCCAUAAUGGGCCCAAUAUUUGUGGAAGAAGCCGAGUUGCCCACCCUUCACUGCCAUUUCUGAGCAAGAUUGUUCCCCUGGAAGUCCCUAGCCGGCUAAUCUUUUAUUUGGGGAUUUGUCGCAGUCAUUUCCUGACCAUCCCAUGGCCAUAGGCCAAAACACUAGGAUUAGGUGCCUAGUGAAAAGAAUGUUUCAAGCCCUAGCAAGCAAAAAUUCCUUACUGGAAUUUGCUUCAGGCCUCCUUCCACACUACCAGGCCCUACAAACUUUUACCAGCUUCUCUCCACUCCCUUUGGCCUUGGACAAAAGGGACAUGGGUGGAGUGGGACUCUGGAUCUCAUGGGAAAAGGUUCCAAAGAUUUUCCUUUUUGUUUGUUCUGUCCCAUUGGUCAACUUAGUAAAUUCUAAUUCUGAAUGAAUUAGAAAUUUUGGUUUUCUGCCAACAAACACAGCACCUACCAUGGUGGAAGGGUAUCUCUGUUGGGGGUCGCUCAGCAAUUUUUCCUCUUUCUGGUAACAAAAUCUGCUUUCCUUUGGAGAACCCAUUUGAUAUGGUUGGGUAUGGCUGACUCCACUUCCACUACAGAUGUGGACACACGUGGUAUCCCUGAUGCCAAGUGGUACCUAGAACACAGUAGGUGAGUCGUUAUUAAAUGAUUGGGUGGGUGACAUUUAUGGUUGUUAGUGAAAGAUAUCUUGACUGCAGUGAUUGACUCAUUAGGAUGUAUGUAUCUCAGCAUUUCUCAGCUUUUCUCAUCUUUUUCUCAGAUCUUUUUUAUCUCAGCACACUUUUAUACUUUAUCUACUGUUGGGGACCCCAAAGAACUAUCAUUUAUCGCAGCAAGUCAUCUUUUCUGCUGUACGGAGAAAGCCAGGCUGAGAAUGAAGUCAACAUUGAGGAAAGCAGAGCCAAGAGAUAGAGAAAAAAAACCCCAAACAAAAUGACUCGAACACCCAGAACGUGCCCAAAGUGAGACUUGGCCCAACAUUUUUCAGUUAUGUGAGCCAGCAAUUUCCCUUGUCAUCUAAAAGAUGGUUUAAAUUGGACUUUUGUUGGAGUUGUUGUUUAGUGCAGCAUAACAGGCUGCCUAGUCAUGAAGACUUGCUCUGCUCAUAUCCCAAGACUGAAUGAUCAUUAACAAGGGGUCCAUAUGGCUGUGGAACUUACUGUUCAGCAGUCUUUAGAACCUCUGAUAUGAGCUAACUGCCAUCAGAAAUUUGUGAGACAUAAUAUUUAUGAGACAUAAUGGUCCAGAAAAAAGACUUUCAGUAGUGGUUAGACUAUAUCCCAGAGACAUUUCAAGAAUGGAUAGGCUCAGGGACAUGAUGAUGCUAAGCUAUAUGAGAUUUCACAAGGCCUCACAUUAAGAGUUGCUUUUGGACUUAAGGUGCAAAGAUGGAAGCUUCUGAGCAGAACUGCCUCAAUUUCCUAGAACACGCUUGACAGUGGCUGGAAUCCAUGCAGCAGUCAUGAUCACAUCUAUGACCCAACAAAGGCUGCUUUGCUUUCAUAUUCUAACUGAAAGAACCAUGACAAUGUGCUCUUUUCCAGACAGUAACAGAAUGAGUCUUGCAGCCUCAAAAGUCUCCAAAGUGAGUUGUAUGGAAUAACAUAAAGAAUUAAUAAGAAGUUUUGAAUUUCCUCACUACUCAAAAGACCCACAUGAUUUCUUGCAGUCGGUGAAUCUAAUUAGAAGUGAGAAAAACAGAGAGGAGAAGCCAUGCGGGACUUCUGCAUUCAUCUUACACCAAAAGAAGUCCCCAUUUCCAGGAACAUUUUGGAGUAGAUCUUGAGAAAAACCACUCCUUUUGUGAACCGUAAUGUGAUGGAUAAAAUUUUUGAAGCAUCUCUUUAAAUGCCUGGUUGACCUGGUGAGAAACUAAUGGAAUUAUCUGGAGGUCAAAAAUGGCAAAUCCAGUGAGGCAAGUGGGAAUUUGAGUUGGUAUUUACCCCUGGGUGUGUGCUAGCCCCUACUCACCUGGAGAUUCCAUUUAAAUGGGCCAUGCACAUGUGGACUGGAAACAAAGUCUCGAACAACCCAGGGAAGUUACAUGUUUAAUUGUGUCCCCCUAAAUUCUUAUGUUGCAGUCCUAACCCCUAUGACACCAGAAUGUAACUUUAUUUGGAAAUAGGGUCAUUGCAGAUGUAAUUAGUUAAGUUUUAAGAUGAGCUCAUUAGGGUGAACCCUACUCCAAUAUGACUGGUGUUCUUGUGAAAAAGGAGAAAUUUGGACACAGACAUGCACACAAGGGAGGAUGCCAAAUGAAGAUGAAGGCAGAGAUCAGGGUGAUGCUUCCACAAGCCCAGAAAUGCCAAAGGUUGCCAGGAAACCCCCAGAAGCUAGGGGAGAAGCGUGGAACAGAUUCUCCCUCACAGCCCUCAGAAGGAACCAACCCUGCAAUGCCUUGAUUUGGGACUUGCAGCCUCCAGAAUUGUGGGAGAACACAUUUCUGAUAUUUAAGCCACCCAGUCUGUGGGAUUUGUUAUGGCAGCCCUAGUAAACUAAUACGGGGGGUCGCGCAAUUGGAUUGGAUGCCCCCACCCAAAGUGUGGCCUGCUCAGUAGGCAAAUGAAAGGGAGAAAACACCCACAGAGGAACCAGUCAAGACGCAGGCACCACAAGCCUGACUUGACACUACUCCUGGGAUGGGACAUACUCUGAGAUGAAAGUUUUGUUUGAAAUGACCCCAGGUUGAUAGUGUUCCCAUGCGCCUGGCAGAAGCAAAUGAAAAUUCCUCUCGAUGAACAUACUUUGAACCCAGACCUCAAAGAAAAAUCCCAUGGAUAACUUUCCAAGAAACAUGAACCCCUGGUCAAAAAUCAUUAAACACACAAAGAAACAGGAGUGAGGGUUGAUGGAAACAAAAAAGUGCUGAAAGAGAACUGCAAAGAACACAGAUAUGGACAUUUUAGAUGCAAAAUAUAAAAUAAGUAAUUUAAUAUGAGUUAAGAAAAAGGCACCGAAAAUAGGAGGGAGAAAAUGAGACUAUCAAAUUUGAUCAGGGAUAUUUGGAAAAGAACCCAAAAAAACUUCAACAAAUAUAUAAUUAUUUUAAAAGUGAAAUGGAUGGGGAGGGCCGGCCCGGUUGCCUACUGGUUAAGUUUAGUGCUCUCCGCUUCAGUGGCCCGGGUUUGGUUCCCAAGUGUGGACCUACAACACAUGUUGGUGGCAAUGGUGUGGUGGCAACUCACAUACAAAAUAGAAGGAGAUUGGCACAGAUGGUAGCUCAGGGACAAUUUUCCUCAAACAAAAAAGAGGAAGAUUGGCAACAGAUGUUAGCUCAGCCAAACUUCCUCAGGAAAAAAAAAUGAAAUGGAUGGUUUAAACAGGUAGGAUACAGCAGAUCUGACAAACUGGAGGAGAGAUCUGAGGAAGUUAUGCAGAAUGUAGACAAAAAGACAAAGAUGUGGAAAAUGGGAAGGAAGAGACAUAUGGAGCAAUAUGACAAGAACUAAAAUACGAUUAAUUGGAAUUCUAGAUGGAAGUGUUAGAAAGAAAGUAACAGGGCAAUAGUUGAAGAGCAAAUGGCUGAAAAAUUUUCUUAACUUGUUGAAAGACACUGUUUCUCAGAUUUAGGAAGCCAAGUGAAAUGCAGUUAAAUAGAGAAGAAACCCACCCAUACACUCACCAUAGUAAAACUGGAAUGCCAGGAGUUCCAAAGAUACAAGUAUGGGAAAGACUAGACAAAACUACCCCUAUUUGCAGGAUAUAGAAUAAUCUAUUUAAAAAACCCAAAAGAUCAUAACAAAUAAGACUUUUUUUUUUAACAAGGAAUGUAUUUUAUUUGUUUAUUUAUUUAUUUUUUGAGGAAGAAUAUCCCUGAGCUAACAUCUGCUGCCAAUCCUCCUCUUUUUGCUGAGGAAGACUGGCCCUGAGCUCACAUCUGUGCCCAUCUUCCUAUAUUUUAUAUGUGGGACCCGUGUCACAGCAUGGUUUGAUGAGCGGCAUGUAGGUCCACACCUAGGAUCCAAACCGGCGAACCCCAGGCCACCAAAGCAGAGGGCAUGAACUGAAUCGCUGCACCAUUGGGCUGGCCCCUGUUUGAUGAACAUGAGAUGCUCAGACUCACUAAGAAUAAAAGAAAUGCUAAUUUUUUUAAUUGAGAUAAUCUCAACCAAAAGAAUGCCAAUGAUUAAAAGUCAUAAUAACAGAAGUUGAUAAAGAUAAUGGAAAAGGCAGGUGUUGCUGGUAAGUAUAUACAUUCUGGAAGAGCAGUUUGGCUCUUUUAAUAGUUUAAUGUGCAUUCCUACUACCUGGCAUUUCCAUGUCCUAGUAUCUAUCCUCUAGAACCUUGCACGCAUGCACUAAGAGGUAUGUACAGGGAUUUUUAAUUUGGCAUUGUUUACAGUAGGAACAAAAAGCCAGAGGGGCCAACCGGUGGUGUAGUGGUUAAGUUCGUGCACACCACUUUGGCAGCCUGAGGUUUGCAAGUUCAGAUCCUGGGUGCAGACAUACACACCACUGAUCAAGCCAUGCUGUGGAGGCAUCUCACCUACAAAAUGAAGGAAGACUGGCACAGAUGUUAGCUCAGGGCCAAACUUCCUCACACACAAAAAAACCGGAAAGAAACCAAAUGUCCAUUAAUAGGAAAACAAUUGUGUAAACUAUGAUAUAUCCAUUCUAUAGAAUACUUAAAAAAAAAAUACUGAGGCGGAUCUGUAUACUCUGACAUGGAAAGCACUCUAAAUUAUAUUAAGUUGGGGCAGACAGGGAGAAAGCAAUUUGGACACUUUGCAUUGUUUACGUAAAGAUACACAUAAUACAAUUACCUAUUUUCAAAAGAGGAAAGCAAAUACAUAGAAAAAUUCUCAACGGAUACACACCGUCUGCAUCUGGGGACUGUACUUGGAAAGUAUGGAGGGCAAAGUUGGAGAUGUGAGUCAAAUGAUUUAUCUGUAAUUUUUUCAUUUGUCUAAGGAGAACAUAUACAUGAGUUAAUGUGAAAUUUAUCUUUUUAUUUGUUUCAAGCAACUGCAAAGUAUGAAAACCCAUUCUUUACAAAAAGCUGAAUUACAGAUUUAUUCUUCUCUGCAACAAAACACUUUGCAGUGGAACCUAUUUCAGUCGUGAGCUUCUUUUCCAAAUUGUUCACUUUACCUAGAUUUUAUUCACACAUCUUUUCUCAUCACUCUGUGCUGCGUAAAGCAAAGCACAGCUGCUCUGUGGAAAUGGUGAGAGUGACAGUGAAUCCAGAAUUAUUGUAGUGGUGUUCUCCUUAUUUACAGGUGUGGUAUUAUUCUAUCUCUCUUUUUUCCCCUUCAACUCGCCGUUUGUUAGAGCCAAGCUUCAGAACCAGAAUUCUGCCGUUCAGUGACUUUGGGACCUCACAUAAGUUACCCAAUGUCCCUAAGUUUCAGGUUCCCCAUUUCUAAAACUCAGGAUAACACCUACUUCAAAGGCUGGCUGUAUGAAAUAAGACAUUCAAAGUGAAACGAAUUAACAUAGUGCCUGAUCGACAGCGUUAGCUUUCCCUACUGAGUGGAAGGCUUCAAAAGUCAAGGGUGCCACCUAACAAUUGUGUGAACUUGAGCAAAGUAAUUCAGCCUCUCUGAGUCUCAGUUUUCUCCUCUGUGAAAUGGGUAGAACAACAUUUUCCUUGUAUGGAUUUCUCUGAAUCGUAAACAUAGUGAACAGCAAGCCCAAUACAGGGACCAUGAUGGUUGUCAUGUCAGUGUUUGUUCCUCUCCCUCUCCCCCUCUUCCCUUCCCGUGGUCUUCUGCAUUUCCCAGUUGACUCGGCAGAUGGAGCAGUUGAAUCGCAUGGUGAGCCUCAGCACAGCUGGCCUGAGUCACAUCCCCACAAAGCAGCUGCCCUGUGCUGCUUUCACUGGGGACAAACCUACACUCCUUCUCGAAUGUUUGGCAGUCGAGGGCAGCGGUCCUGGAAGGAGGUGGCAACAGCAGUGUUGCAAUACAGUCUGAGAUUUCACUAAACACUGAGCCACCUGGAGGCCCCCAUAAAUGCAAAGUCUGUCAUUUUUCAUGCCUAAGGCAGUCAAGCCAAGUAUCUAUUGCUUUUCGGCAGGCUCUUUGGCACACUUCAGAGGCACUACUUUAGGGCCAACUUCUCAUCAAAUUAAUAUUCUGUCUGUAGGGAAGACUUUGUUAACUAACUGAGUUUAAUGAAGAUUUUUUUCACUUUUGGAAAAAAGAAUAUGUUGGUUCUCCUUUUUUGGUCUGCUUGGAUGAAGGGAAGUUGAUGUUCUAGGUUGAAUGCAAGACUGGAAUAGGAUAUUCAGAGGCAGCUUCUUAUAUGGGACCACCUUUCCUAUGCCAGUCCUCAGAGGUUUAUGAGCUUACAUCCAGCACCUGACUUUCCAAGAUCCGACAAUCUCCUGGUCUGCCCUGCUCCGAGAAGCCGGGUUAACACUGGACCAACAUAAUGAGUGGAUGACUGAGGUCAGAGCAGCUGUGUUACAGCAGCAGAAUGUCCAGCACGUGAGCAGUCAUCACAGCGAGCCAGGGCAGAGCACAUGGCAGUGAUAUCCCAGAGUAAAAUUAAUUUCCGUGUUAUUCCAGCACAGCAGAAUUGCUGGGAGCCACAAGUUCAAUUUGAUCAGCACGUCUCAACCCUAUCAGACCCAGUGCCCCUCUUUUAUAACAAAUAUUGUGUAACUCUCCCCCAUAGUAUCCUAAAAUGAAAUGUACAGAUGCAACUUAUCUACGCAGAUAUUUUAGUCACUCUAACGUCCUAACAGAUAUAAAGAAUAAAAGCAAAGUCGUUAAUGAUAAAUAAAUAUGUAUUUCAAUAUGUAAAUACUCAGAGACAACUACAGCUAGAAGACAGAAAGCAGUCCAAUGCGUGUGCCUGUUCCUAGAAUCACCCUAAAUAUGGCAGCACAAACAGAAUAAGUGUUGGUGACUCAAAUACCAUGAGCUGCAUUGUAUUGGUGAAUAACUCUCAGUAAAGUUCCUACCAAAUGUUAAGUAUAAUCUUUCCUUAAUUUACAUAGAAUUAUUAUUGCAGACUACAGCCAUAAAAGAUAAAUUGUGUUUUUUAUAAAACAGAGUUUGGCUCUAGAUUCCUUGUUUGUUGGGACAACAACCAGUCCUACACCUACACACACACACACACACACACACACACACACACACACACACACACUUUCCUAAACAACCCCUAGGGGGCAGUAUUGCCACUGUUGAGAACUCCUGUUGUGGGAGGCCAGAGAGUGCCCCAAAGUAUGGGGGGUGGCUUUAACUGCCUUCCAGAACUCGUGGAAAGCAUCAGGUUCUCCAGGUAAUUACCUAACACCUCUCCCAGCUGAAAAUCCAAGACUUUUGCCUACCUAGUACCGAUUUGAUUACAACACAGAGUAGAGCUGUAUCACAGGUGGCUCUGCCCUAGGUUCCUGUGCGAUGAUGCAGCUAUCAUCUCAGACUCAGAUGGAACAACACUGCAGCCCACCACAAUCAGCCUGGGAAGUGCAGGGGAAAAAGGAUACGUGGUUCAUUCCCCUAAGCCACCUUCCAGCCCACGUCACCCUGCCAGGCUACCAUUGAAAGGCCCACAGCAGAUCCCCACAGAGCAAGGCUGGACCAGCUCUGCACCAGCCUCUGGGAUUAUUUGGCAAUGUGGGGUGCCGAGGGGCUCCUGGUUUGGGCUCUAGUUAAUUGAAUGUUCUGGUUACUUGACAGUUAAUUGACAAUCCUAUUUGCUUCAAUCCUUGUAAAACUUUUCUGAAAUUCAUGAAUUCACCCUUCACCAAAACAACAAUGGUUUAAGUUAGUAGGAGAGAUUCUUUUUUCUUUUCUCUCUUUUCCAAUUUCCCAUGAUGAGUUUAUAAUACUUCUAGAUUAAUAGAAACACAUUUAGUAAACACACAGGUCAGUUUCCGGGCUUAAUAGAUAGUACACACUAGAAAACGGAGCUUUCGUUUUAUGUUUAAGAAUAGGGCAACGUUUCAGGCUACUCUUUCUGAACAGUGCUCCCCACAGAAUUGCCUAUGUAGGCAUCAGAUUG
rnacentral:lncRNA from 1 species